CUGCCAUGGACAGGGCAUGGGAAGCCUCCACCUCCCCCCCCACUCCGUGAGCUGACCUGGGGGGCAGGAGAGGCUAGAGGAAUGGAGCUAGGUUCCCCCCAUGGACGCUGGGGGGGCAGCAAGCCCCUGCCUGGUGCUGUGCAGUGACUGGGGUUGUGGGGUAACCCUCCUAGCCUGUCAUCUCCCCUCCUGCAGAGAUCUCCCUGUGGGCUCCCAGACAGGUGUGCCAGCCCACGAAGCCAGGACUCCUGGGUGUGCCUGGGGCCUGCCAUGCGGAACUGGGGCUCUGAUGGCUGCUAAUCCAGCCCUUUGGGGCUCUACGUGGGGAGAACUGGGCUGCUGGAGCAGCUCCCAGCUUCUGCAGCCCCUGGUG